UUGACAGCACUAAAGCUUACGGGUUGUGAAAAGCUGGAGGAGAUUCGAGGACUUGAGGGAACAGAAUCCUUGAAAGAAUUGAAUGCGCGAGGAUGCCAUAAUCUGACACAUUCUCCAAGGAAGAUACAUGGACAGGGAGCACUUUUACCCUACAGGUCACAGGGAAAUACCUAUUCCUUGACUGCUAACUACUAAUUAUGGGAUCGAUUAUAAGGGGUUGAUUCUGUGCAUUGUUCUGGAAUUUCCCUCCGACUUCAUGGAUGAUCUGGUACUAACCUUCAAUUUUGAUAUUUCUGCUUCUAUCCGCAAAAAAGAUAAAACAGCCAGGUGUCUUCAUACGUUGAGAAUUGAGGACGUUGAGAUUACUACUCAUCGACAUA